GACGAACGCUGGCGGCGUGCCUAAUACAUGCAAGUCGAACGAGUGGCGGACGGGUGAGUAACACGUGGGAACCUACCCAUCAGAGGGGGAUAACUACUGGAAACGGUAGCUAAUACCGCAUACCAUUGGAUGUGCUCAGAGGGGAUUCGCUAGUUUGUGGGGUAACGGCGCACCAAGGCGACGAUCCCUAGCUGGUCUGAGAGGAUGACCGGCCACACUGGAACUGAGACACGGUCCAGACUCCUACGGGAGGCAGCAGUGGGGAAUAUUGCGCAAUGGGCGCAAGCCUGAUACAGCCAUGCCGCGUGUAUGAAGAAGGCCUUCGGGUUGUAAAAUACUUUCAGCGGGGAGGCGUUACCCGCAGAAGAAGCACCGGCUAACUCCGUGCCAGCAGCCGCGGUAAUAC
rnacentral:rRNA from 1 species